GUAGGUGAACCUGCGGAAGGAUCAUUAAAGAGACGUUGCCCUUCGGGGUAUACCUCCCACCCUUUGUUUAUUAUACCUUUGUUGCUUUGGCAGGCCCGUCCCUCGGGACCCCCGGCUCCGGCUGGGCCGCGCCUGCCAGAGGACCCCAAACUCUGUUUGUUAAUAUUGUCUGAGUACUAUAUAAUAGUUAAAACUUUCAACAACGGAUCUCUUGGUUCUG
rnacentral:misc_RNA from 1 species